rnacentral:rRNA from 1 species
UAAGCCUGUGAAGGUGUGUCGUGAGGCAUGCUGGAGGUAUCAGAAGUGCGAAUGCUGACAUAAGUAACGAUAAAGCGGGUGAAAAGCCCGCUCGCCGGAAGACCAAGGGUUCCUGUCCAACGUUAAUCGGGGCAGGGUGAGUCGACCCCUAAGGCGAGGCCGAAAGGCGUAGUCGAUGGGAAACGGGUUAAUAUUCCCGUACUUGGUGUUACUGCGAAGGGGGGACGGAGAAGGCUAUGUUGGCCGGGCGACGGUUGUCCCGGUUUAAGCGUGUAGGUGUGUGUUCCAGGUAAAUCCGGUUCACUUUAACACUGAGGCGUGACGACGAGGCACUACGGUGCUGAAGCAACAAAUGCCCUGCUUCCAGGAAAAGCCUCUAAGCAUCAGGUAACAUCAAAUCGUACCCCAAACCGACACAGGUGGUCAGGUAGAGAAUACCAAGGCGCUUGAGAGAACUCGGGUGAAGGAACUAGGCAAAAUGGUGCCGUAACUUCGGGAGAAGGCACGCUGACACGUAGGUGAAGUGAUUUACUCAUGGAGCUGAAGUCAGUCGAAGAUACCAGCUGGCUGCAACUGUUUAUUAAAAACACAGCACUGUGCAAACACGAAAGUGGACGUAUACGGUGUGACGCCUGCCCGGUGCCGGAAGGUUAAUUGAUGGGGUCAGCGCAAGCGAAGCUCCUGAUCGAAGCCCCGGUAAACGGCGGCCGUAACUAUAACGGUCCUAAGGUAGCGAAAUUCCUUGUCGGGUAAGUUCCGACCUGCACGAAUGGCGUAAUGAUGGCCAGGCUGUCUCCACCCGAGACUCAGUGAAAUUGAACUCGCUGUGAAGAUGCAGUGUACCCGCGGCAAGACGGAAAGACCCCGUGAACCUUUACUAUAGCUUGACACUGAACAUUGAGCCUUGAUGUGUAGGAUAGGUGGGAGGCUUUGAAGUGUGGACGCCAGUCUGCAUGGAGCCGACCUUGAAAUACCACCCUUUAAUGUUUGAUGUUCUAACGUGGACCCGUGAUCCGGGUUGCGGACAGUGUCUGGUGGGUAGUUUGACUGGGGCGGUCUCCUCCUAAAGAGUAACGGAGGAGCACGAAGGUUGGCUAAUCCUGGUCGGACAUCAGGAGGUUAGUGCAAUGGCAUAAGCCAGCUUGACUGCGAGCGUGACGGCGCGAGCAGGUGCGAAAGCAGGUCAUAGUGAUCCGGUGGUUCUGAAUGGAAGGGCCAUCGCUCAACGGAUAAAAGGUACUCCGGGGAUAACAGGCUGAUACCGCCCAAGAGUUCAUAUCGACGGCGGUGUUUGGCACCUCGAUGUCGGCUCAUCACAUCCUGGGGCUGAAGUAGGUCCCAAGGGUAUGGCUGUUCGCCAUUUAAAGUGGUACGCGAGCUGGGUUUAGAACGUCGUGAGACAGUUCGGUCCCU